GGUGACCCAGAUGGUAAAGGAUCUGCCUGCAAUGCAGGAGACCUGGGUUCAAUUCCUGGGUCAUCC
rfam:TPA: Bos taurus chromosome 4, whole genome shotgun sequence.